rnacentral:rRNA from 1 species
AUGGUGCAGAGGUCGCUGAUGGAGAAGAUUGUCAAGGAACGGGUGGAGAAGGAUCGGCCUGGGCGUGAUGCGGUAGCGGGGAGCUUCGCAGAGCCAGCCAUCCAUGGCGGUCCAAGGUCGCCGAGGUCCCUGCCCAAGGGCAGAGAGAGUGCGCUGAGAGAGAGAGAGAUGGAUACAAGAGGAGAAGGAAGAACGAGGGAAAGAGGCGGGGCAUGGUGCUGGUCCCGUGGGCCCAGCGGCGGCGCCGAUCGUCGAACGCGAGACGAGGAGGCCCAGCCGCGGAGGACGGCGUGGAGGUGCGGUGGCUAG